rnacentral:rRNA from 1 species
UAUAGCGGAGGAAAAGGAAACCAACAGGGAUUGCCCUAGUAACGGCGAGUGAAGCGGCAACAGCUCAAAUUUGAAAGCUGGCUUAGGCCCGCAUUGUAAUUUGCAGAGGAUGCUUCUGGCGAGGUGCCUUCCGAGUUCCCUGGAACGGGACGCCAUAGAGGGUGAGAGCCCCGUAUGGAUGGACACCAAACCUGUGUGAAGCUCCUUCAACGAGUCGAGUAGUUUGGGAAUGCUGCUCUAAAUGGGAGGUAAAUCUCUUCUAAAGCUAAAUACCGGCCAGAGACCGAUAGCGCACAAGUAGAGUGAUCGAAAGAUGAAAAGCACCUUGAAAAGGGGGUUAAACAGUACGUGAAAUUGUUGAAAGGGAAGCGCUUGUGACCAGACUUGCGCCGGGCAGCUCAUCAGGGGUUCUCCCCUGUGCACUCUGCCCGGCUCAGGCCAGCAUCGGUUCUCGUGGGAGGAUAAGAACGGUAGGAACGUGGCCCCCCUCCGGGGGGGUGUUAUAGCCUGCCGUACGAUACUCCCGUGGGGACCGAGGUUCGCGCUCCGCAAGGAUGCUGGCGUAAUGGUCAUCAGCGACCCGUCUUGAAACCCCCGGACCAAU